rnacentral:pre_miRNA from 9 species
UCUUGAUAGCGUAAAAGCUAUCUCAAAUUUGUAUGGAGUUGGAACAUUAGCCUACGUUUGCCGCUAGAGGCGCUGUUCCAACUGCAUACUUGAGUUAACUUUUACGAUAUCGA